CUGGUAGUCCAUGCCGUAAACGAUGUCUACUAGCCGUUGGGGCCUUUGAGGCUUUAGUGGCGCAGCUAACGCGAUAAGUAGACCGCCUGGGGAGUACGGUCGCAAGACUAAAACUCAAAUGAAUUGACGGGGGCCCGCACAAGCGGUGGAGCAUGUGGUUUAAUUCGAUGCAACGCGAAGAACCUUACCUGGUCUUGACAUAGUAAGAACUUUCCAGAGAUGGAUUGGUGCCUUCGGGAACUUACAUACAGGUGCUGCAUGGCUGUCGUCAGCUCGUGUCGUGAGAUGUUGGGUUAAGUCCCGCAACGAGCGCAACCCUUUUCCUUAUUUGCCAGCGGGUUAAGCCGGGAACUUUAAGGAUACUGCCAGUGACAAACUGGAGGAAGGCGGGGACGACGUCAAGUCAUCAUGGCCCUUACGACCAGGGCUACACACGUGCUACAAUGGUCGGUACAAAGGGUUGCUACCUCGCGAGAGGAUGCUAAUCUCAAAAAGCCGAUCGUAGUCCGGAUUGGAGUCUGCAACUCGACUCCAUGAAGUCGGAAUCGCUA
rnacentral:rRNA from 1 species